rnacentral:rRNA from 1 species
UACGGAGGACCCGAGCGUUAUCCGGAUUUAUUGGGUUUAAAGGGUGCGCAGGCGGGAGAUUAAGUCGGCGGUGAAAUUUUGCAGCUCAACUGUAAAAGUGCCUUCGAAACUGGUUUCCUUGAGUGUGGAUGAAGUAGGCGGAAUUUGUGGUGUAGCGGUGAAAUGCAUAGAUAUCACGAGGAACUCCGAUUGCGCAGGCAGCUUACUAAACCAUAACUGACGCUCAGGCACGAAGGCGUGGGGAUCAAACAGGAUUAGAUACCCGCGUAGUCCCU